rnacentral:rRNA from 1 species
AGUGAACGCUGGCGGUAGGCCUAACACAUGCAAGUCGAACGGCAGCACAGUAAGAGCUUGCUCUUACGGGUGGCGAGUGGCGGACGGGUGAGGAAUACAUCGGAAUCUACUUUUUCGUGGGGGAUAACGUAGGGAAACUUACGCUAUUACCGCAUACGACCUACGGGUGAAAGCAGGGGAUCUUCGGACCUUGCGCGAUUGAAUGAGCCGAUGUCGGAUUAGCUAGUUGGCGGGGUAAAGGCCCACCAAGGCGACGAUCCGUAGCUGGUCUGAGAGGAUGAUCAGCCACACUGGAACUGAGACACGGUCCAGACUCCUACGGGAGGCAGCAGUGGGGAAUAUUGGACAAUGGGCGCAAGCCUGAUCCAGCCAUACCGCGUGGGUGAAGAAGGCCUUCGGGUUGUAAAGCCCUUUUGUUGGGAAAGAAAAGCAGCAGGUUAAUACCCCGCUGUUCUGACGUUACCCAAAGAAUAAGCACCGGCUAACUUCGUG